AUUGAACGCUGGCGGCAGGCCUAACACAUGCAAGUCGAACGAGUGGCGGACGGGUGAGUAAUGUCUGGGAAACUGCCCGAUGGAGGGGGAUAAGUACUGGAAAAGGUAGCUAAUACCGCAUCACAACGGAUGUGCCCAGAUGGGCUUAGCUAGUAGGUGGGGGAACGGCUCACCUAGGCAACGAUCCCUAGCUGGUCUGAGAGGAUGACCAGCCACACGGGAACUGAGACACGGUCCAGACUCCUCCGGGAGGCAGCAGUGGGGAAUAUUGCACAAUGGGCGCAAGCCUGAUGCAGCCAUGCCGCGUUUAUGAAGAAGGCCUUCGGGUUGUAAAGUACUUUCAGCGAGGAGGCGUUACUCGCAGAAGAAGCACCGGCUAACUCCGUGCCAGCCGCCGCGGUAAUUC
rnacentral:rRNA from 1 species